rnacentral:misc_RNA from 1 species
CUGUACAAGGACGAGAGGGAGAAGAGAACAGCGGAUUCAUCACCGCCAGGCGUCAGGUCAGGUGCGUGCGCAUACAUCCAUCUGCCACCCUUCACCCGCUCUUCUUCUGCCGGCGGUUCCCUCCACCCGCUCUUCUGCCGGUGGUUGCGAGAGUGUGUUAAGACAAGAUGGUGGCGAAUGGCGACGCACCUGCUAGAGGGAGUGCGGCGGCAGCUGCAAGCCUGCGCAGGCGUAGGACCACAAGCGGUGCUGCUGCUGGCGGAGGUGGUGCCAGCUCGAUGCUCCAGUUUUACACCGAUGAGGCUGCGGGCCGCAAAAUGUCACCAAACACCGUUCUGA